CAGAAUACAACAGAAUAUACAGGUGAUGGAUCUGUUUGCAUCAGUGGGCAUCCUGCUUCCAGAAAACAUACAGGGAACUGGAAGGCCUCCUCCUUAAUCACAGUCUGUUCAUUCUGCUGUUAUCUGGCCUAUUCUUCGAUUAAAAACCUAGUCAGUUAUCUCACAAAAGUCCUACAUGAAACAAAUUUGAAUGCAGCAAGACAUGUUGCAACUUGGCAAGGUACUAGCUAUCUCGCGCCUCUGGUUGGAGCCUUCGUUGCCGAUUCAUAUCUGGGGAAGUACCGGACAGCUUUGAUCGCCUGCACGAUUUUCAUUAUUGGAAUGAUGAUGUUGCUUCUGUCAGCAGCACUUCAAUUAAUCUCAGCCGGUCCUCACGCUUGGACUAUUUGGGUACAUCUAAUCUCUUCUCAGUACACCAUAUUCUUGGUUGGGUUGUAUAUGGUGGGUUUAGGAUAUGGUGCACAGCGCCCUUGCGUCACGUCUUUUGGAGCCGAUCAAUUUGAUGACACCGAUAAUGUGGAGAAAACCAGAAAGAGCUCCUUCUUCAAUUGGCACUAUUUCGCAAUCAAUGCUGGUUCAUUAAUUGCUGGGACGGUUAUUGUCUGGGUUCAAGAACAUGAAGGCUGGCUCUGGGGUUUUACAAUUUCUACACUGUUUGUGACUUUAGGUGUAUGUAUUUUUUUCUUGGGCUCCAUUGUGUAUAGAUUUCAGAAGCCUGGAGGUAGCCCUCUGGUAAGAAUAUGCCAGGUUGUCGUUGCAGCUGCUCGGAACUUCGAUAAAGUUUUGCCAUGUGAUUCCUCAGCUCUUUACGAGUUUAUGGGGCAAGGCUCGGCAAUCAAAGGCAGCCGGAAAUUGGAGCAUACAACUGGACUUGAAUUCUUUGAUAAAGCUGCAAUUGUGACAUUACCUGACUGUGAAUCUCCUAGCCAACAUAAUAAAUGGAAGAUUUGCACUGUCACUCAGGUAGAGGAGUUAAAGAUUCUGAUUAGGAUGUUUCCAAUUUGGUCAGCAAUGGUAUUGUUUGCUGCAGUUCAGGAACAGAUGUCUUCAACAUUUGUAGAGCAAGGGAUGGCAAUGGAUAAACACAUAGGGUUCCAAUUUAUGAGAGACUCAUUGUUCCAGUAA
rnacentral:rRNA from 1 species